GACGAACGCUGGCGGCGUGCCUAAUACAUGCAAGUCGAACGCAGUGGGGACGGGUGAGUAACACGUGGUUAACCUCCCCUCAGAGGGGAUAACACUUGGAAACAGGUGCUCAACCGAUAUUUAUGGAUGUACCCGCGGUGCAUUAUCUAGUUUGUGAGGUAACGGCUCACCAAGGCCACGAUGCAUAGCCAGCCUGAGAGGGAGAUAGGCCACACUGGGACUGAGACACGGCCCAGACUCCUACGGGAGGCAGCAAUAGGGAAUCUUCGGCAAUGGACGAAAGUCUGAAAGAGCAACGCCGCGUGAGUGAAGAAGGUUUUCGGAUCGUAAAACUCUGUUGUUAGAGAAGCGGUAUCUAACCAGAAAGCCACGGCUAACUACGUGCCAGCAGCCGCGGUAAUUC
rnacentral:rRNA from 1 species